GACGUAGGGCGCGAGCGUUGUCCGGAUUUAUUGGGCGUAAAGAGCUUGUAGGCGGUCUGUCGCGUCUGCUGUGAAAAUCCGGGGCUCAACCCCGGACUUGCAGUGGGUACGGGGCAGACUAGAGUGUGGUAGGGGGAGACUGGAAUUCCUGGUGUAGCGGUGAAAUGCGCAGAUAUCAGGAGGAACACCGAUGGCGAAGGCAGGUCUCUGGGCCACUACUGACGUGAGAAGCGAAAAGCAUGGGGGAGCGAACAGG
rnacentral:rRNA from 1 species